UUCAUCUUCUUGCUUAUAGAGGAAGAAAAGAGGAAAGACACUGAUAUACAGAGCCAUUUUCAUGCUGGGAAUCUCAUUUUAAUUUUUUCUUUUCCUUCAUUGAACAAGCAGGUUUUUCAUGUUCAACUUGAUUUGUGAACUUAAGCAACAGGAAGGAGUUCCCAGGUAUUAGAAGACAUAAUUUAUGGUAUGAUUACUUUUAUGAAUCAAUACAUUGACAUCCUGAAUUUGAAAUAUAUAAAUUAGACACUUCUGGGUUUGUGACAUUUUCUGCCUCUCCCAAACUAUCCCACCAAAUGCAGUCUUCCUAGAGUGAGAUUUGUUCACACUAACUACUGUAUCUACAUUUUCUGUUUGACCACUCACUGCAGUCAUCUUUGGACACUUAGCAUCUAGAUCAAUGUCUGAAAAUUCAAGAGCUCAAAAAAUCUGACUAGUUUAAUGUUCCUGCACAUUAUAGGCAAUGUUCUAUCCACCAACUUAUUGGAGGAGCAAGGAGUCAGCAUCUAACAACAAGUUAUCAAUGAAGAAUAUGAAAGUGGAAAUGUUUAAUGCCCACAUAUCUGUUAGGCAUGAACUUCAGUGUAGUUAGUAUUGGGCUUGUUGAUGGCAGUCAAGGUUGCUGACCCCUGUGUGUGCUCCAGGUGUACAACACAGAUAAUUCUGACAGAGCCCCAUUCUGAUGGAGCCGACAAGAUUAAACAUUGAGGGUUUUCCCCAAAAGGGGAUAAUCUCAUUUCAUAAGGGAAGAAGGUAUGUAUCCUUUCGUUUCAACAUCAGCAGUUUGUGAGGCUUGGCUUUCAUCCUUGACUAAGGAAAAGCAACAAGUAAUAUGAACAAAUAACCAUUUUAUUGAUAAUGUAUUUCAUAAAAUAAAAAUGUAGACUUGUAAGGAAAAAAUAGCACAUGAUAUAAUUCUUAGUAGACAAUGAACACAAUUUAACAUUGGAUUGAAAUGUUACAGCAGAUGUAAAUAAAUUUCAGUAAAUGUAGGUGUAAGGCUAAUACAUUUGAAUAGUAGAUAUAAUUUUUGAAGC